GACGAACGCUGGCGGCGUGCCUAAUACAUGCAAGUCGAACGCAUUUUCUUUCACCGUAGCUUGCUACACCGAAAGAAAAUGAGUGGCGAACGGGUGAGUAACACGUGGGUAACCUGCCCAUUAGCGGGGGAUAACACUUGGAAACAGGUGCUAAUACCGCAUAAUUCCAUUUACCGCAUGGUAAAUGGAUGAAAGGCGCUUUUGCGUCACUGAUGGAUGGACCCGCGGUGCAUUAGCUAGUUGGUGGGGUAACGGCCUACCAAGGCUGCGAUGCAUAGCCGACCUGAGAGGGUGAUCGGCCACACUGGGACUGAGACACGGCCCAGACUCCUACGGGAGGCAGCAGUAGGGAAUCUUCGGCAAUGGACGCAAGUCUGACCGAGCAACGCCGCGUGAGUGAAGAAGGUUUUCGGAUCGUAAAACUCUGUUGUUAGAGAAGAACAAGGAUGAGAGUGGAAAGUUCAUCCCUUGACGGUAUCUAACCAGAAAGCCACGGCUAACUACGUG
rnacentral:rRNA from 1 species